CAGACACACACAGAGCUCACCUCCAGCCUGGUGCGGUCUACAUCUCUGGGAAGCUUGACCUUGACUCUGUGGGUGACUGCAAGUAUUUCAUAGGGGUAGACCUGACACACACACAAACCCACACACACACACAC